rnacentral:rRNA from 1 species
UGAGGAACAUGACCUUCGGCGGGGGAUAGCCGGCCCAACGGCCGGGUAAUACCGCGUACGACCAUUUGGGGACAUCCCCGAGUGGUGAAAGCAGCAAUGCGCCGAUGGAGUGCCUCGCGGCCUAUCAGCUAGUUGGUGGGGUAACGGCUCACCAAGGCAACGACGGGUAGCUGGUCUGAGAGGAUGGCCAGCCACAGUUGGGACUGAGACACGGCCCAGACCUCCGUACGGGAGGNAGCG